AUCCAGCCAGCGGCAACACACAAUGAACACCGUUCUGAAAAAGCAAAGCUGAGAGCCCCAGGAAGAUGCAGGAGGUGCAGAUGGAACCCCCGGCAUCUGCUCCUAGUAGAGGCCAGUCUGGGCCUGACCUGGCAUUCCACCCUGCAGAUAGCGAGAUGAGGAAACUGAAACACAAAGAGAGGAUAUGUAACUUGCCCAGCGCUGAAGACUCCCACCAGGCACAGCGUGCCUAGAAUCUGUGCUCCCUGUCACCACAGUAGACAACUGUACUCCAGCA
rnacentral:lncRNA from 1 species